rfam:Myotis davidii contig67495, whole genome shotgun sequence.
GGUGUUUGUUGGGUGAUGCACCCCCCGGAAUCGAGCUCCCUCCUCUCUGGUUCCAGGGUACAUCACCCGAGAACUACA